AUACCGGAAAACUAGAGUCUCUC
rnacentral:siRNA from 1 species